rnacentral:tRNA from 1 species
UCCCAUAUUGUCUAGUGGUUAGGAUACCUGGCUCUCACCCAUGAGACCCGGGUUCAAUUCCCGGUAUGGGAA